AGAUGUUAAUCAUGUUGCUCAUGUAGGAUUAGGAAAGAAAGCCAAACCGAGUCCUAGUACUAUUAGGAUUCCUAGUCCUAGUCUAUUUCCAUAGUCCCUUGUGGACGUGUAUAAAAGACACCCUAGGGGUGUUGAUUGUAACACCAGAAAAACGAAAAGCAAUACAAAGCAAAGGCUCGACACGGGCCUUUAGCCAUCAAAUUCAUUGAUCAGUUUUAUUGGUGUCGCUAGUUACGCAAGUUCCGUCAAGUAGCCGGCCGAAGCAAGAAUCGCGUAGGCACGCCUGUACAGCUGCAUACGCACGUUCAAAAGCCAACAAUUGGUAUCUAGAGCCUCGACGAUCUACGAUCUACGAUGACGGACAGCGACGCUGAGUCGGUCAAGUCCGGCAGCGGCGGUGCCAAGG
rnacentral:lncRNA from 1 species